rnacentral:sRNA from 1 species
AAAAAAACUCGAAUCAUACCGGAUUUAACAUACAAUCAAACCGGAAAUAAUUUAAUUGAGGGCUAGCUAAUAAAUCUCAUAUAACAAAAAAA